rnacentral:rRNA from 1 species
AUUGAACGCUGGCGGCAGGCCUAACACAUGCAAGUCGAGCGGAGCGGCGGACGGGUGAGUAAUGCCUAGGAAUCUGCAUGGUAGUGGGGGAUAGCGUCCGGAACGGGAGCUAAUACCGCAUACUAUCAGGUGAGCCAAGGUCGGAUAAGUUAGUUGGUGGGGUAAAGGCCUACCAAGGCGACGCUCCGAGACUGGUCUGAGUGGAUGAUCAGUCACACUGGAACUGAGACACGGUCCAGACUCCUACGGGAGGCAGCAGUGGGGAAUAUUGGACAAUGGGCGAAAGCCUGAUCCAGCCAUGCCGCGUGUGUGAAGAAGGUCUUCGGAUUGUAAAGCACUUUAAGUUGGGAGGCGUUACCAACAGAAUAAGCACCGGCUAACUUCGUGCCAGCCGCCGCGGUAAUUC